GGAGAGGUGGCCGAGUGGUUGAAGGCGCACGCUUGGAAAGCGUGUAUGCGUGAAAACGUAUCGGGGGUUCGAAUCCCUUCCUCUCCGCAA
rnacentral:tRNA from 1 species